AAUUAAAAAGCUUUAUGAAAGCAAAUGUUUUGAAAGCAUAAAAAAAGAAGUUAAAUUCUUCUAUUAAUUC
rnacentral:tRNA from 1 species